GGAGAGGUGGCCGAGCGGCCGAAGGUGCACGACUGGAAAUCGUGUGAACCGCAAAACGGUUCCGAGAGUUCGAAUCUCUCCCUCUCCGCCA
rnacentral:tRNA from 1 species